rnacentral:rRNA from 1 species
UGGGGAAUUGUUCACAAUGGGCGCAAGCCUGAUGACGCAACGCCGCGUGGGGGAUGAAGGUCUUCGGAUCGUAAACCCCUGUCGAAUGGGACGAAAGACUCGCGAGUGAAUACUUCGCGAGAGUGACGGUACCGUUAAAGGAAGCCACGGCUAACUCUGUGCCAGCAGCCGCGGUAAUACAGAGGUGGCAAGCGUUGUUCGGAAUUACUGGGCGUAAAGGGCGCGUAGGCGGCCCUCUAAGUCAGACGUGAAAUCCCCCGGCUUAACCUGGGAACUGCGUCUGAUACUGGAGGGCUUGAGUAUGGGAGAGGGAUGCGGAAUUCCAGGUGUAGCGGUGAAAUGCGUAGAUAUCUGGAGGAACACCGGUGCGAAGGCGGCAUCCUGGACCAAUACUGACACUGAGGAGCGAAAGCCAGGGGAGCAAACGGGAUUAGAUACCCCUGUAGUCCCUGAGCGGGCUGGCAAGGCGCAU